GUCUCCCGCUGGGAUCGCGAUCGCCCGCGGUGGCCGAGCGCAGCGCCUUCAAGACUCCGGUUGGGGGGAACGUCGGAGCGCCCCUGUAGUGGUUAGUGUACAGAGCGCGGAGACGCCGCUACCACCUGCCCGGGACCCCCCACACCCGACCCCUGCGUGGCCCAGGCCCCCCGCAGCAGCGUGCGUGGGAGGCGCCCCGACGGUGGACGGCAACACUCUGAUCCCUCUGCGCCCAGCGAGGACCGGGACACCGACACGACCAGGAACAGCGUGGCAUGUUUGGAGGAGUGGAGUUGAGGGGGAAACAGCCCUGACCCUCUCAGGGGGCCGCGCGCGUGGAUGCCCCACACCCGGACAGCGGCGGUGCCAGCGUCGCACCCGAACGCACCCCAACGGCGGUAGCGCUGGGGGUCCCGGCAGCCCCCAUUCGCCCAAGCCGUUCCAGUUUAGGCCACGACAGGAAAAGUCUGGGAGCCCAGUUCUGUGUCCCCCCGCGCCGCUUCAGCGGAACAGCCCAAGAAACUUCCUGUGGUUCAGACACCUUGGUUUGUUGCAACUUUGGGCGCAGAAAGUUGGAAAGUGUGGGUGCACUCACUGAAAACGGAAAGCGUGGUCCCAAGUUUACAGAAAUGCUAAAAUGCAAACCAAAAAAUAAAUUCUCUUUUGAUUUCUCUCCUCGCGGAAAGCUGGCGAAAGCACACGUUUUAUGAUCGUCAUCUUUCAUUGAUUAUACACACGUGUGACUUGGAGUUUCCAGUAGGAAUACUGUUCUUUGACUCUCCCGUACUUCACUGAACGAGUAAUUAGUUAAAACAAGUCCCCAAAUUCCUUAAUCUCAAAAUGCAUAUGUAAAUAGAAUCUGCAUAGGAUACAAAAUAAAACGCGCAAGUGGAAAACAAUUGCUUUUCAAGUGAGUUCGAGGGUUGGCGCAGUGAAUUCGGCAUUUUUGGAGGAAGAGGCUGGAAAUGAAAGUCCCAAGAUUUAGAGAACACGCGUGUCCCCAGGUCUUGCGCAGCUGGCCAGGGGCCUCAGUUUCCCCAAGGGGAGGCCCCUGAUGUCGGGAACGGGGUUCACUGUCUCCCCAACGCAACCUUGACUCGCCGGUGGGUGGGAGCGCGCUGGCGUCGGGGGGCACGUUGCGAGCCUCCACCCUAGAUGCGGUGACGCCGCGCACAGCAGGGCACUGUGGAUCUCGGGUGGCCAAGGGCUGCCUCCGUGUGGGGCGCCCCGGCCCGCG
rnacentral:lncRNA from 1 species